UCACACCAGGUCCUGGUGAGAGGGAUCCUAAGGCCUAAAAUCGGGGCCUCAGUUUCCACACCUAGGCCUGUGGUCUUGAAAUCGGGGCCCCUCUUGAACCCCGCUGCCAGGGAACCCAGCCGGGGAAGUUUUCUCUCCCCUGCCCUCCGUGGUGCUCCAGGGACAAGUUUCCUUUUCUGUAGAAAGAGGGUCACCGCGGGACCCGAAACGAACUGUGAAGAUUACAUGGGUUUAUGUUUGCAACGCACUUAGAGCAGUGCUCUGCAGGAGUAGCCUCCGUGGGAAUCGUUGGUUCGAGAAAAUAAACGUCCCAGCUGGUUUACUGCAGACCCACCACCUUCCCCAGCAUCUUGUUUGCCAUUCUGGAGAGACAGCCAGUGAGGGAACACAAGCAGGGGGAGUGGGAGAGGGAGAAGCAGGCUUCCCAAGGAGCAGAGAGCCCGAUGUGGGGCUUGAUCCCAGGAUCCUGGGAUCCUGACCUGAGCCGAAGGCAGAUGCUUACCCGACUGAGCCACCCAGGUGUCCCGUUAUCCUUGAUUCUAAGAGCAGAGGUGAGUUUUGCCUGUUCUAGAACUUCCUAUCAAUAGAAUCACAUGGUAUGUGCUUCUUUGUGUCUGUCUGGCUUUUGUCACUCAGCAUAAUGUUCAUGAGAUUCAUCCACGCCAUAGCACGUAGGUAGAGAGGGUUCAUCCAUUGCACCUCUGAUGGGCAUUCUGGUUGCCUCUGAUUUGGGGCGGUAUCAGUUUGCUUAGUUAGAACAGCUACCACCAAGUAGCCCAGGCUGGAUGGCAUGAAGCAACAAAAACUUUCUUUUCUCAUAAUCUUGGAGGCCAGAAGUCCUACCUCAAGGCGUUGGCUGGGUUAGUUUCUUCUGUGGCCUCUCUCCUGGGCUCGAGGAUGGCUAUUUUGUCCCUGAGGCCUCACCGGGGCUUUCCCGUGCGUGUGUACUAAUCUCCUCUUCUUACAAGGACACCAGUCACACGGGAUUAGGGCCCACCCUACUGACCUCAUUUUCACUGAAAUACCUCUGUAAAAGGCCUACGUCCAAAUUAGGUCACAUUUUGAGGUGCUGGGUAGGGGGGCGUUGGGACUUUGACACAUGAAUCAGGGAGGGGACACAAAUCAGCCCGUAAGAGGGGCAAUUCUGUUAAAGCUGCUAUGAACAUUUUUUUUUUUUAAGAUUUUAUUUAUUUAUUUAUUUAUUUGACACAGAGAGAGAGAGAGAGCACAAGCAGGGGGAGCAGCAGGUGGGAGCAGAGGGAGAAGCAGGCUUGCCGCGGAGCAGGGAGCCAGAGUUGGGGUUUGACCCUCGGACCCUGGGAUCAUGACCUGAGCGGAAGGCAGACGCUUCAUCCACUGAGCCACCCAGGCGCCCCGCUGCUAUGAACAUUCUUGUACGGGACAUGUCGUUUGGUGAACGUGUGCACGCAUUUCUGUUGGGUCAAUCCCUCGGGGUUCAUUUGCUGGCUCAUAAGGUGCGCGUUCGCAUCCCACUGUAGCCGAACUUGCCAAGUGGUUACCCCACAGUGGCUGGAGCCUUUUGUGUCCCCCUCCAGCAGGGGGCGAGAGUCCCCGCGGCUGCACACAUCCUCACCAGCACCUGACCUUGUCACGCCUUUGCAUUUGAGACAUUCUUUUGUUGGGAGACACAAAGUGUUUUUUGCGUGGUUUAGUAUAUCCUGAAUUUUCCAGGGAGUCCACUACUUCCGUCGAGGGAAAAUUGUGCUACGUUGCGUUCAGAAAUCAGCCAAGGGUGAUGCACCAUUUUGGGUCAUCACGUCACCCCUGCAACCCCACUCCUGCUAUCCAGGGGCUCACCACAGCGUCCAGCUGCUGCAUUCGAGAGUCCACAUGCAGGCAAGCACCGAAGAUGGGGCUACCCACGCGCAUGCGCACGCGCUCAGCCCUUUCUCAAAUUCUGAUACCACAAAAGGGUGUUGUUCCAUUAGCAAGCAUUCCAACUCUCUUGCGCUCAACACAUUCAUUGUAAGAGCCAAAAACAUUUGACUACUUCUUGACGAUUUCCAGUGUCGUUGUACGAAUGCAUUUUCACGUGUGUUGCUUUAUUAUAAAUUUCUUCCCUUCGAUUUCUGUAAUUUCUCCCUUAUGGUAAAUUCAGGUUAUUACACUAAAAAUGAUGUAUAUAGGGGUGCCUGGUUGGCUCAGUCGGAAGAGCAUGCGACUCUUGGUCUUGGGGACAUGAGUUCGAGCCCCACAAAGAUUGGGGCGCCUGGGUGGCUCAGUGGGUUAAGCGUAUGCCUUCGGCUC